rnacentral:misc_RNA from 1 species
GAUGAAGAACGCAGUGAAAUGCGAUAAGUAAUGCGAAUUGCAGAAUUUCCGUGAGUCAUCGAAUCUUUGAACGCACAUUGCGCCCCCUGGUAUUCCGGGGGGCAUGCCUGUCCGAGCGUCAUUGCUGCCCUCAAGCACGGCUUGUGUGUUGGGCCUCCGUCCUCCUCCCGGGGGACGGGCCCGAAAGGCAGCGGCGGCACCGCGUCCGGUCCUCGAGCGUAUGGGGCUUCGUCACCCGCUCUUGUAGGCCCGGCCGGCGCUUGCCGACACAUCAAUCUUUUUUCCAGGUUGACCUCGGAUCAGGUAGGGAUACCCGCUGAACUUAAGCAUAUCAAUAAGCGGAGGA